rnacentral:rRNA from 1 species
UACGAAGGGGGCUAGCGUUGCUCGGAAUCACUGGGCGUAAAGCGCACGUAGGCGGAUUGUUAAGUCAGGGGUGAAAUCCUGGAGCUCAACUCCAGAACUCUCUUGAUACUGGCGAUCUUGAGUCCGGGAGAGGUGAGUGGAACUGCGAGUGUAGAGGUGAAAUUCGUAGAUAUUCGCAAGAACACCAGUGGCGAAGGCGGCUCACUGGCCCGGUAUGACGCUGAGGUGCGAAAGCG